rnacentral:SRP_RNA from 1 species
CCGUGCUAGGCGGGGAGCUAGCGGUUCCCUGUACCCGCAAGCCGCUACAGCGGGGCUGAACUCCCACCCCGAGGCGUCGUCUCGUGGGGUCAGGCCCGCGCGCGCAGCGACGACGGCCGGGUCCUGUGCAACGGAAACUGACCAACCCCGCCAGGCCCGGAAGGGAGCAACGGUACGUCAGCGCUUCCGUGUGCCGCAGGGGCACCUGGCCUGAGCCAGCGGCGCGGACACCGCCCGGGGGACGGUCGUCGACGGGGGGUGCACGG